CGGAGUGGCGGAACUGGUAGACGCGCUGGACUCAAAAUCCAGUGAUUUUCGGGUCGUGAGGGUUCGAAUCCCUCCUCCGGC
rnacentral:tRNA from 1 species